rnacentral:rRNA from 1 species
CGGCGGACGGGUGAGUAACGCGUGGGAACGUACCCAGAUCUGCGGAAUAGCCACUGGAAACGGUGAGUAAUACCGCAUACGCCCUUCGGGGGAAAGAUUUAUCGGAUUUGGAUCGGCCCGCGUUAGAUUAGGUAGUUGGUGGGGUAAUGGCCUACCAAGCCUACGAUCUAUAGCUGGUUUUAGAGGAUGAUCAGCCACACUGGGACUGAGACACGGCCCAGACUCCUACGGGAGGCAGCAGUGGGGAAUCUUAGACAAUGGGCGCAAGCCUGAUCUAGCCAUGCCGCGUGAGUGAUGAAGGCCUUAGGGUCGUAAAGCUCUUUCGCCUGUGAAGAUAAUGACGGUAGCAGGUAAAGAAGUCCCGGCUAACUCCGUGCCAGCAGCCGCGGUAAUACGGAGGGGACUAGCGUUGUUCGGAAUUACUGGGCGUAAAGCGCGCGUAGGCGGACUAGUCAGUCAGAGGUGAAAUCCCAGGGCUCAACCCUGGAACUGCCUUUGAUACUGCUAGUCUUGAGUUCGAGAGAGGUGAGUGGAAUUCCGAGUGUAGAGGUGAAAUUCGUAGAUAUUCGGAAGAACACCAGUGGCGAAGGCGGCUCACUGG